UAUCUCUGUAGAGUCUGCAUAUCAAUAAGCGGAGGAAAAGAAACUAACAAGGAUUCCCCUAGUAACGGCGAGUGAAGCGGGAAGAGCUCAAAUUUGAAAUCUUCAAGGUUUGACCUUGACGAAUUGUAGUUUAAAGAAGUGUUUUCGGUUAGAGGAGUUUAGGUAAAAGUUCUUUGGAAUAGGACAUCAUAGAGGGUGAGAAUCCCGUAUUUGACUAUUCUUUCUAGCUUUGUGAUACACUUUCAAAGAGUCGGAUUGUUUGGGAAUGCAGUCCAAAAUGGGUGGUAAAUUUCAUCUAAAGCUAAAUAUUGGCGAGAGACCGAUAGCGAACUAAGUACCGUGAGGGAAAGAUGAAAAGAACUUUGAAAAGAGAGUUAAACAGUACGUGAAAUUGUCAAAAGGGAAGCGUUUCGACACCAGUGUUGUUUUUCCGAAAAUCAAUUAAAAAUUGAUUCAUGCCAGGUUGUAUUGACCUUAUCAGCUUGCAAUUUGGUUUUGGGUCUCUUUUUGAUGCACUUUUCGGUUAACAAGUCAACAUCAAUUUCCUUUGCUGUAAAAAGGUAAGAGGAAGGUGGCUUCAAUUUCGGUUGAAGUGUUUAUAGCCUUUUAUCUCUGCAGUCGGGGAGAUUGAGGUCUGCAGCGUAGAUCCUUCGGGGCUAGAUACAUUUAUGCUAAGUUAUAGCUUUUCAUAGACAACUUGUUGACUAUGUUUAGUCAUGUAGCUUACUCGUAAGUGCUAUUUUACCUACGCUUAGGAUGUUGAGCGCAUGUCUCUCUCU
rnacentral:rRNA from 1 species